GGGAAGAUAGCAUAAGUGUGCGAUUAACUUGAAAUUAUUAGGUGGCAGUUAAGUCUGUCUCUUCUCG
rnacentral:tRNA from 4 species